GCAGCUGUAGCUUAAACGAAAAGCAUAACACUGAAGAUGUUAAGAUGGGCCCUCACCUCACCCCGGUAGCA
rnacentral:tRNA from 1 species